UCGUUUGAACAUUUUUAUACAUUAAUUGAGUUUUCAAUGCAUUUAUAUGCAUACUUUAAAUUUGACUUACAGUCACAUGCUCUAAUCUAUCUAUCUAUACCUAUACUAAUUUCAGACUCCCUAAAAUUACCACGUUAAUUAGAAAUUAUGAGCCGUUCAACUGGUGGGACCGAGUUAUUACGGUGGAGAUUAACCCAUAUAUUUUUUGCUUAAUCACGUACUUAAUUCGGCCAAAAAAAAGUGAAGGCCCACGUUCCUUUCAUCAUUGCUGUACAAAAAGAAGCCCAACAGGCCUUUCAUCACCGUUGUCUAAAAAAAAAAGACCAUCAUCGGUUGCUAAAGAAAGAAGCCCUCCUCCCGUAUCCCUAACCUUGUGACGCCUACCAUCGGCCGCCACUUCCCAUGGAUCGCGCCGCCGCUUCCCAUGGAUCGUGCCGCCGCUCUGCUCACCAGCGUAGUCGUCACUGCCCACCGCAUCCAGCCGCUGUCGCAUCUCACCGCCUCCACCGCCCCCAUGAAUCACCGCCUCCUCUCUCUUGGACCAGCAUGCUGCGGUGGAUGCUUCCGGUCCCGUUGUGGCGACACGGCUGGUCAAGGGAACGCGGUGAGGCGGAUUGUGUCCCGUUCGUUGAUCUGCCCCACUUGCUGCUGCUCCUCUCCCAUCGACCGUCACAUCAACAUUUACUGCGACACACGACGUUCUCCUCUUCUGCGGCGAUGCUUAUAAGCGACAAUAACGGUGUCCUGUUGUGGCCCAACAUUCAUCGGACCGCUGAGGCACGGAAGUGCCCGGAGAAGAUCGCUCUCCGCUUAGCAAAUUCCACCGUGUUCUGAAUGGCUGCCCGACAAGGUGAUUUUCUUCUCUGAAUUUCUCUCAUGAAACUUGGGUGGCAUGGAGCGGGUGUGCUAGGUGGAGUGCCACUGGAUUGUUGUGUUAGUGGGGAGAAUCUCCGCUUAGCAAAUUCCACCGUGUUCUGAAUGGCUGCCCGACAAGGUGAUUUUCUUCUCUGAAUUUCUCUCAUGAAACUUGGGUGGCAUGGAGCGGGUGUGCUAGGUGGAGUGCCACUGGAUUGUUGUGUUAGUGGGGAGAAUCUGCUCUCCUGGAACUUGGGUUUGGCAAUGAAUUGUGCCAAUACUACUAUCCUUUGGCUUUGCAAUGGUGAUCUAUGCAGUUCUGUUUUUCCAAAUCAUGGUGGUUUAGUUAGUUUGUUAACAGCUGCUUCAGUUAGGACUAAUAAUCGAGAGUGGUUGACUGGAUUGAAUUUCGCAAAGGACAAUACAAUUUUGUUAUAAUUGGUGAUUUAGUUAGUUCGUAAAAAAUAGUUCAUAGGAUCAACUGCUAUUUAGCUUACUACAGUAUAGUUGUGUGGAUUGUCGGUGAUGAAUAAUGAGAUUUCAUGAAUAAUACCCAAUGCAUUGCUUACUGUUGUCCAGUGUACUACAGUUUAGUAUGAAGAACUUGACCUUUGUUUGACAAGAAAAUGUCUGUGCUAAUUCCCACACGGACUGAUUUUCUAGAACCAAUUUAGGCUGUGAUCAUUAGUGCGUCUUCAAAGCUGCUUGACAUAACAUAACGUUUGAUUUUUACUAAUCUGAAAUCGAGCCUAAGCAAUGUUAAGUAGACCUUUGAAUUCUUAAUAAGGAAAUUACACAAUUUGUUUUGUGUGCCGCAGGAUUAGUGUUGUUUAAAGAAUUUUUUCUUCAAACCAAUCAGGUUGACGAUUUUAACUGUCGAUGCAGACGCUCUGCCGGAUGUUCAUCAUCAGCGCCAGUCAUGGGUUCAGGCUCCUGUGGAACUCAUGGCAUCAACCAUAUGAACCUGCAUGUAUUUGAUAGUUUGCUUGAUCAGUUUUAUGCCUUCCACUAUAGCUAUGGCUACUACGCAACUUCAUUGAGAUUUUUUCUAUAGGACUUGGAUUAGUAAUCCCCAACAAUACGGUCACGCUUCUUAUAAUUACUUUCAGACGCUGUGCCGGAUGUUCAUCAUCGGUGCCAGUCAUGGGUUCAGGCUCCUGUGGAACUCAUGGCAUCGACCAUAUGAACCUUCAUGUAUUUGAUAGUUUGCUCGAUCAGUUUUAUGCCUUCCGCUACAGCUAAGGCUACUACGCAGCUUCAUUGAGAUUUUUUCUGUAGGACUUGGAUUAAUAAUCUUCAACAAUACGGUCAUGCUUCUUAUAAUUACUUUCAGGUAUAAAUACAUUUGUGAUUUUCUGUAUGUUGUGCUACUAAACUGUGUGCUAUACCAAGCAUGACAUCUGCGCCUUUUCAGAUAUGCAUGGAUUUUUCAAGAGAAUUUAUUUAAUAUGUAGUAUAUAGCUAGAAAGCUACCUAAAUGUUAGCUUAUAUUGCCAACUCUUGAAAAUAUACGGACCUUUUACUUUUUUUGCCGUGAACCUAGGGAGCUUGGGACGGAGUAGGUGUCAAUAGUCGGUAUAUACCAGAACAUUUUUUUUAUGAUUGCUAGAACAAUAUUCUGCGAUAUUGUAUAUACUAACAUAGUGACUGUGGAGUACUAAUUCAAAGUAUAUACUAUUGUACUGUAUUUUGUCUAUAUACCAUCUAUAUCAAAGUAGUACGUACACUGCUCUUUGUGCACGGCAGUAUGUAGCAUACAAAAUUAAAUCAAAUGGGUAUAUAACAUACACUUUGAUAAAGUAAGUAUGUACUUUUUUUCUGGUGCAGUAUAUACAACAUUUUUGUAAGGCAAUAUAUAGUACUUUUUAAGUGAACCAGUAUACUACUUUUUUUAUUCAGUAUAUACAUAAUCUUUUAGUCGAUAUAUACUACUCUUUCUGAGUAGGUAUAUACUACUAUUCUUGAUAUAUAAGGCAACCUGCAAAUUCCACGCCGCCGCCAUUGUCGACUAGAAGGUGGUACCGUCGCAUGGAUCUACCAGUGCAUGCCAUGCCAACAUUGUUUCUUAUUACCACCGUUGUUGACGAUAUUGGUGGUGCCGUCACAUGGAUCAAUCAGUGCACCCCAUGCUGUCGCUUUGUCGACGAGAUGGAAAUGCCGUCUUAUCCAUCGAUCAGUGCACCUACUUAUUAACGUCGCAUCGGCUAUGUGACUAGCUGCGUCAGUGGCUUUGCACCUCGAUCCAGAUUAGUUUCAUGCAAAGCCUGUCAUGUUUGCCUUUUGUGCAGGAAUAGGCAAGCACAACAGAAGACCUGAUCAUAGACACUCAUAGUCUGAGGUAAAUACUCCUUCGACGCAAGCUGUCACAUUGUUUUCUUUUAUCUUGAAAACUGUAAAUUUAUUUAAAAAAUUGUGGUAAAAAAUUAUUAAGUUAUUACGUGGGAGAGACCAUCAACUAAUAAUAAUAUAAAACAAGGGUAGGCUAGGAAAAAGAUACAUCAUUCUUAGAAAAUUGUGCUAACAAAGUUGUUAAGUUAUUACGUGGGAGAGACUCAACUAAUAAUAUAAAAACAAGGGUAGGCAGUAUUAUCGGAAAGAUUGGACGCUACUUCUUCCCCCAGGCCCGAAAGAGAUCACGCUUCUCCACCGUCUCUUCCUCUCCUGGUUAGAAAACAACCUCAAGCAAUUUUCCUUAUUUGAAACUUUUUCAGCUGUGCUAAAGGAGCUUAUUCUAAAAACUGUUUUCCUCAUCUGCAUCGGGUUCAUUUUCUUAUAUGUUUUUCCUUGCAGGUUUAUCUUGAAUACACAAUAACUUUGGAUUUGAGAUCACUUUGUUUUGUGUCAUGUGCUUGGAUAGUGUUGUGCUCUCCAGGGAUGCAAUCCCGGCUCUUCUCACAUAGAACCUAUGGAUACCUCAUGGAGAUUUGUUGGAGCAUAAUCUUCUAAUGUACAACCUAUGUAUACAUAUGGACAUCGGAGGGAGCAUAAUUAUGAUCAUCAAGCGAGCUUAUAAAAACCUGCUGUCUAAACAGACUACAGCGGCAUGAAGGAGGCUAAUGUCAGUUGUCAACGUCGUCGCUGGUCAAGUUACUAAUCAGUUUUUGUAUCGACAAAACAUGUCCAGGACCCUCUAUGGGAGAGUUAACAUCUUCAAUGGCCUUCCCAAUCUCCAGUUACGGCUGAUGUUGUUGCUUGAUAUGCUGGUCCGCCACAAUCUCCUCUUCAAGGAAUUUCCUUGCCAAGCUGCCAUGUCCUGGCAGUUGUAGGUUAGAGAAUUGGCUUCUCAUGAAUUUUCUUCUAACCCUUUUUUCAGUCAGCAGAUAGUGCAGAUAGUUAGGCGGUGAAACACUUGACAAUGAAGAUCUUUGUCAACUACUAAAACAUUGAUGGUUUCUGUUAUACUGUAUAUCUGAAUAAACAAUUUUACGGGCAAUUUUUUUGCAUAAGUAAAGGCAUGUGAGAACUGCUAA